ACGUGUUCUGACAAGCAUGAUAAAUGAUUUGCUCAUUUUGGCCUAUAAAAGGGAUUAGCUUCUUUCAACAACUGUAUUAAUUUACUAUGGGUUUCCGUGUGGUGUACAUGCUGGCUAUGGCGGUCUACUUGUCAGCUGGGAGUCUUCACCAAGAUGGCUGUUUACCGUUCAUGUGCAGUCAAUUGUGUAUAUUUGGGUACGUGGAAGUGAACGGCUGUCUGACGUGUACCUGUUGCUCUCUUCCCUCGUGUGCUCCUCCUACCCCAGACAUGUGUCCCCGUGGUAUCAGAUACGCCAACGGCUGUCCAACGUGCCUUUGCCACUAGCGACGACGACAAUGACGGUGGCAAAAUAUGCCUCAGGCUCAAUGGACCUUCUGAAUGAUGUACACUGAUGUGGUUUGUGCUGUACGAUUUACACCCUAUGCUUUGUUCGGCAUGAUUCAUAUAUGUAAUGGUUUAUUCUGAAUGACAUUUCAAUGGCAAAUUCUGUAUCAUAUCUUCUACGGCUUGUUCAGUGUCAUGUCACAAAUUGUAGUAUACAAUGGCUUUGUUCUCAAAAAUAUAUAUUCAAUGGCUUGUUCUGGAAAAUAUAUUUAAAUCAUUGUCAUGAUUUAUAUUUCAGUGGUUUGUCCUGAAUGUUGUAUUUUAUAUUCUUGCUAUAAAUGUGAUAUAUAUAUUCAAAUAGAUGUUCAGAGUGAUAUGCAUUCAAACACAUGUUGUGAAUCAUAUAAAUACUAGUAUAUAUCUUGAAUGUAUCUUAUUGAUAUGUAUCUCAUGUUAUUUCUAAAAGAAAUCUACUAAAUACCUUGUUCUACAAUAUACAUAUUCUAUGGCUUAUUCCUAAAGGUUAUAUAUUAAGUUUAUACACUAUUGGAUAUUUUGAAUGGGACAUACCACAUGACUUGGUCUGAAUUUAAUAUACCACAUGACUUAUUCUGAUUGAUAUAUACCAGUGUUUUAAGUAAAUAAAGUGCCAGGCUACCAUCAGGACCCACAUACUUGAGAAGCUGCAGGCCCUAACUAAGCUCCUUAGGCCCUAUAUCAAUACUACAGCUCAUUGUGACAAAUAAAUCAAGCCAUACAAAUUUGAAACCACGAGCCCAGGACAAGAUCUACCUGCCACGAGCCAACGGGCAGAACACUGACACUAUAUAUACCCUAUGACUCGUUCUGGGCGAUAUUUUAUGUUAUGAAUUGUUCUGAAUGAUAUACACCCCAUGAUUUGUUCUACGUGAGAUAUUUUGAGUAAUAUAUACAAUGAACGAGUCGGAGAAUAUUGAUAUAUCCUCAGGUGUCCAGGGUGUGUGAUUCGUUAAGACAAGUGAGUGAGUGAGUUUGGUUAAGUUAAUAUAGUGUAUAUUCAUUAUAUUGAGAAACCAUAGGCCUAUAGCACAUGUUAUAUAGCUAAAACAGCUUCACAGGAAGGGGACAACAGUGACAGGGCUCAGUUUAGCCAUAGAGAUUCUAAGAGUGCUUCAAAAUCGAGCACUAAGAGAAGUUGAGGGUGUGGCCAGGGCCCAUCUCCAGUCUCAACUGAUAACACUGAUGAUUAUAAUAAGCCUGGAUCUGCUAACAAUGGUGAUAAGUGUUGCACAAUUUUGUCAUGGAACAUUGAAAGUCUUCGUAAGAAAUUAGAGGACAAUGAUUUCAUUGAAUAUAUUAGAAGCUUUGAUAUUGUUAUUUUACUAGAAACUUUCCUUGAUAAAACUGUUGAUGCUCCUGAACUAAAUGAUUAUGAUAUUUACUUUACCAAAGCUCAUAAAAUUGCAAAUUACGGUAGACUGUCAGGUGGGGUAUGUAUGUAUGUGAAGAAAUCUUAAACUUCUUAUUGCGUUCAAUACCCCUUGUCUUUUGAUAAUGCCAUUUGCAUAAAAUUAUCUAAAUGCCUAUUCGGUUGUGAUAAAGAUGUUCUUUUAUUUGGAAUGUACAUACCGCCAUAUGGAUCAAACUACUAUGAUACCUCAGGAAAAAGAACUAGUUUUGAACAACUGGAACAGUGGUUGAUUGAACAUGCAUCUGAACUGUUAGAUUUUCACGUACUGAUAUGUGGUGAUUUAAAUGCACGUACUGGUAAUAACAGUAAUCCCCCUGAGCCGUGUAAUGAUGAGGAAACAAGUGUAUUCCCCGAGGAGGAACUUGUGCAUGUCGGGGAGAGAUCUUCAAAGGAUACAUUUAUGAAUAGAUUUGGUAAAAUGUUGUUAGAUUUUGCUUCGCAUUCAACAUGUAUGUCUUAAAUGGGAGGUUCAAGGGGGAUGAGCAGGGUGAAUUUACUUAUGUAUCUGUGCAAGGUGGUAGUGUUGUUGAUUAUUUUAUUGCCUCUCCUGCUCUUUUUGAAUACUUCACUCGCUUCACAGUCGAACAGAGGCUAGAUUCAAAACAUAUGCCCUUGUUGCUAUAUUUUAACAGGCCACCCAUUAGUACUGUAGAAGUAGAUGAUUCAACAGAAUGUAGAUCAUCCAAAUACCAGUGGAAUGUGGAUAAUGUCAAUACAUUUGUUGAAAACCUUAAAUCGAUCUAUUUUGCAACUUCUGCUAAUCUCAUGGCCAGCGUUAAUGUCAACAUCAAUUCAGCUCUUGAUAUGUUUGUUUCCACUUUGCUAGAUGCUGCAAGUUGUAUGAAAAAAACAGUUUACCCUAAAAAUGUUAGAAAUGGAUUUUACAGUUAUGAGUGUAGGAUAGCUAAGCGUAAAGCUAAGAAAUAUCUUAGACUAUUUCGGAGAUAUAAAUCAAACUUAUUCAGAAGACAAUACUGUACUUUGGGGAAUAGAUAUAAAUUUGUCUGCCGAAAGUCUAAAUUUGAAUUUAAGACAAAGACUGCGAAGGCGUUGACAGCAGUUAUAUCCAAUCAAAAACAGUUUUGGAAACUUCUCCGAGGUAUAAUCUAAGCCGUGUAGUAAGCAAAAUUAUAUAAGCAGUGAUGCUUGGUUUAACCAUUUUAGCAAUGUGUUCAAUGCUGAUAUCUUCUGUGACCAGAAUGUCUCCUCAUCGAACGUAGACAACGAAGCAAAUUUAGAACCCAACUGUGCUAAUGUAGUAAACAGUGUGGAAGAGUAUAUACUGGACUCCACUAUAACAGAUGAAGAGAUACAUAAUGCUAUAUCUCAUUUGAAAGAUGGCAAAGCUUCAGGUAUAGAUGAUGUGGUAAUUGAAGUGUUAAAAGUCUCUGAAAAUGUUGUCAUGCCCUUUCUGAACGUGUUAUUUAAUAGAAUAUUUGAGUCUGGUGUUUUUCCUGAUGUUUGGUCAAAAGCUAUUAUCAUUCCUGUUCAUAAAAAAGGAGAAAAAAGCAAUCCUGAUAACUAUCGUGGUAUUUCACUUCUCUGUGUUAUAGGUAAAGUUUACAUGUAUGUUUUAAGCAAACGACUAACUAUAAGGGCAAACAUCAAGAACAGAAUACCAGAAACACAGGCCGGUUUCAGAAAGGGUUAUGCAACCACUGACCACAUAUUUACUCUGUAUGCUAUUAUUCAGAAAUGUUUAUGUAAAAAGAAAUAAAAACUUUAUGCGGCAUUUGUAGAUUUUAAAAAGGCUUUUGAUUUUGUUAACCGUGAUAAGUUGUGGAAUCUCUUAAUGUCUUAUGGUAUAAGUAGUAAAAUGUUAAAAGCUUUAAGAAAUUUAUAUAAAAGUGUUAAAUCGUGUGUAAAAUGUGAUCUAGGUUUCACAGAUUAUUUUGACUGCCCUACUGGUCUACGUCAAGGAUGUAUUUUGAGUCCAUUAGUGUUUUCACUUUUCAUAAGCGAACUAUCAAAUGAAGCUAUCUCUAAUGGAAUGCAUGGUGUACAGUUAUUCCCUGAUUUAAUAGAGAUACUGUUAUUGUUGUUUGCCGACGAUGUUAUUUUAACACGGGGCUACAGACUCAGUUGAAUAUUCUAGAAACCCACACAGAAAAAUGGACUUUAAUGGUAAAUCUGGAAAAAAACAAAAGUUGUUUUAUUCAGACGAGGUGGGGUGCUUUCAAAAAAGGAUAUUUGGUAUUAUUAUUUGGGAAAAAGGUUGAGGUAGUGUCAAGCUACAAAUAUCUUGGUUUACCUUUUAAUUCAUCAGUAAAAUUCAGUAAAAGUAUAUCUGACCUAGCACUAAGAGCAAAAAGAGCUUUGGUCGAAUUGAUUGCAACUUUAAGUAAAACUGGUCUUAUUUCAAAGUCAGUGUUCUGUAAGAUAUUCGAUUCGCAAAUACAACCCAUGCUUUUAUAUGGCUCUGAAGUGUGGGGAUUUCAGCAAUAUGACAAAUUGGAAAAAGUUCAUCUAUUAGCCUGUAAGAAAUUCCUGCAAGUAGGACAACAAACCCCAAAUGCUAUAAUCUACGGGGAAACGGGUCGCUUUCCAAUGUACAUCAACUCCUAUGUUAGAACACUUAAGUUUUGGCUUAAAUUAAUUCAUAUGAAUGAAGACAAAUUGCCAAAAAAGGCUUAUAAUAUGUUAUUGUAUUUAGAUAACUGUGGACGCCAUACAUGGGCUUCUAACAUUUGUUUACUUCUUUUUUCUCAUGGCUUUGGUUUUGUAUGGAUAUCGCAAACAGUUGGGAACCAGCUUUCAUUUCUACGACUUUUUAAGGAUACUUGUAUAAACAUGUUUUACCGAAACUGGAGAUCAGUCUUAAACUCUAGUUCAAGAUUUCAUUUAUAUGCAGAGUUUAAAAGACUUUUAGAGCCUGAAAAAUAUCUUUCAGUUUUUUAUGAAAGAAAAUUUAGAAACAUAAUUGUAAGAUUUAGAGCAGGUCUUGUAAAAUUGAAGAAUAAUGAAGGCAGAUAUCUGUCGAUAGAAAAGUCUUUUUGAAUAUGUCCAGUCUGUAAUAAUGGUAUAGAGGAUGAAUUUCAUUUUUUACUCAUUUGUUCAUGUUAUAAUGAUCUCAGAAAAGAAUACUUACCGGCCAAACUUGCCGAUAUCCUAGCUUGAACCAUUUCAAAUCUAUUAUGUGUAAUAACAAUGAAGCAGUCUUAAACAGUUUAUCACGUUUCCUAUAUUACGCUUAUGCAAAAAGAACAAGUAGUACAAUUCAAUUAUGACAUAAGUCAUGUGUCACGUUACUUUACCGUUGCAUCUGUGAACAAUUGGUAUAUUGUGAACUGAAAUUGUAUAUGGGCCCGAGGCCUUCAUGCAAAUAAAAGUUCUUCUUCUUCUUCUU